rnacentral:rRNA from 1 species
GAGUUUGAUCCUGGCUCAGAUUGAACGCUGGCGGCAGGCCUAACACAUGCAAGUCGAGCGGUAGAGAGAAGCUUGCUUCUCUUGAGAGCGGCGGACGGGUGAGUAAUGCCUAGGAAUCUGCCUGGUAGUGGGGGAUAACGUUCGGAAACGGACGCUAAUACCGCAUACGUCCUACGGGAGAAAGCAGGGGACCUUCGGGCCUUGCGCUAUCAGAUGAGCCUAGGUCGGAUUAGCUAGUUGGUGAGGUAAUGGCUCACCAAGGCGACGAUCCGUAACUGGUCUGAGAGGAUGAUCAGUCACACUGGAACUGAGACACGGUCCAGACUCCUACGGGAGGCAGCAGUGGGGAAUAUUGGACAAUGGGCGAAAGCCUGAUCCAGCCAUGCCGCGUGUGUGAAGAAGGUCUUCGGAUUGUAAAGCACUUUAAGUUGGGAGGAAGGGCAGUUACCUAAUACGUGAUUGUUUUGACGUUACCGACAGAAUAAGCACCGGCUAACUCUGUGCCAGCCGCCG